AAAAGCCACUGCCUUGCCCCAGUUGGGUAGACGGCUGUGGUGCAGAACCACACUUGAGUUGCAUUAACGUGGCUGUACGAGGCGCCAACUGAGAGUGUGUCCUCUUCCUGAUAUGCACGCAGCUGUCAGCAACACAACUGGCCUAUUGCAAGGCUGCGAAACCACAGCAUGAAAGCAACGAGGAGCGUGGGUUUGGAAGAGGCAGACCCGUUGAGGCCAUCUUCCUGAGGUCUGGAAGCAAGGAAGGAGUUGGCAGCGGAAUUUGAAAGCUCAAGAGAGCUUCGGAACAGCAGCUCCACAGCCCCAUUUCCAGAUUUGACUUAUGUUAUGUUCGAAUGAAACGUCUUGCUUCCUGAGUGCUGCUUUGCCCUCCCUUCACCACAGUAGCCACUCUUCUUCCAAAGCCAUCAGGGAGAAUUUGCUUGGUGGUCAAAAAGGCAUGAAGGUCUGGCGUUGCGCAACAUUCUUCAGCAAGACGGUUGUGUGCAGAAAGCCCUCCGACAACUACCGGAAGGAAGAAACUGAAAAUAAACACCAUCCAUUGGAAGCUUUGAAUUAUUUGCUUCUGUCUGUUGGGAAUCGCAUAUAAAACGAAUUGGGAU